AAUUAAUUAGCUUCAUGAUACUUAUAGCAGCAUAUGCAUUUUAAUGUGAAAUUUAGAUAAAUAAAUACAUUACCAUUUUGUAUAUCCCAUGGAAUUCUUGCCUAUUACAUUUCAAAAUUAAUCUUGAUACUCAGAUGCUGUCGUAGAUACUAUUAGGUCCUGUUCUUUAAAGGUAUUGACAUGUGGUGUCUCGUAUGCUCUGAAUAAAUCCAAAAAGAAAUUGUUAAAAAUAUAUUAAAAACUUAUGUAUGGUCUUAUCCCUCCCAGGCUUUCAUGGGAGCCCACAUAGUGUGAUUAGACAGACCAGUCUUCAAACCCUGGUUAUUUAGUCCUCUUUUUACUCUUAGUCAUGAGUAACUUGAUACAAAUCCGUGAGCUUGAUUAUGCCGAGAGAACACGCAGCCAUCAGGCAUGCAUUAUUAAAUGAGAUGAAUUCAAAUAAUUGUUGUAUGCUUCAGGAAUUAAACCGCUGCAAUUUAUGUGUCCAUUUGAAUUAGGAAUUGAUAACGUCAAGUAUUUUGUUUGGCGUAUCAUGUUUACGCCACAAAUUGUGACUCGCCGCAAGACUGACAAGAGCGUGAGGAGACUGAUGACUGACGUGCCAGCUGGGAAAUACUGGGAAAAUUACUUCAAUUGGAAACUCAUGACUGGCCAUAAUAUCUACACUCCAAUGGAGAAGGGAAGCGCCAUUGUCUAGAACUCCAAAACCACGUUCGCCUUUUUUGUAAUUGAGGACAGAAUCUACACGGUGGGCCUUUUGUUGGUCCAGGAGCCGAAGAACGCCUGAUCGCUGCUCUAAAACCAAGAAAUUUGCCUCAGCAAGCAUCUCGGCAGCCAAAUGAAAGGGAGAACAUUACUACAGAGGGCACGUUAUAAACCCGUCCAUAUUGUAAGUGAUCUUAAUCCCCCAAUCUAACCACUUGUAUUGCCUUUUCUGGUGGGGGUUUUCCAUUGAAAUGAUUCCAGUUGCUCUUUGGCAGGGGAGAUCCACAAGCCGAGUGUGGUGUGAAGAAGAUUUCCAGAUCUGUGCAACUGGAAUAAAAGGAGGGACCACCCGUAAGGAUCAGAUAAGAGCAUGGUAAGCCUGGCCCGAAUCAGUUUGGCAUU
rnacentral:lncRNA from 1 species